AUUGAACGCUGGCGGCAGGCCUAACACAUGCAAGUCGGACGGUAGCACAGAGGAGCUUGCUCCUCGGGUGACGAGUGGCGGACGGGUGAGUAAUGUCUGGGGAUCUGCCCGAUAGAGGGGGAUAACCACUGGAAACGGUGGCUAAUACCGCAUAACGUCGCAAGACCAAAGAGGGGGACCUUCGGGCCCCUCACAACAGGAUGAACCCAGAUGGGAUUAGCUAGUAGGCGGGGUAACGGCCCACCUAGGCGACGAUCCCUAGCUGGUCUGAGAGGAUGACCAGCCACACUGGAACUGAGACACGGUCCGGACUCCUACGGGAGGCAGCAGUGGGGAAUAUUGCACAAUGGGCGCAAGCCUGAUGCAGCCAUGCCGCGUGUAUGAAGAAGGCCUUCGGGUUGUAAAGUACUUUCAGCGGGGAGGAAGGCGAUGUGGUUAAUAACCGCGUCGAUUGACGUUACCCGCAGAAGAAGCACCGGCUAACUCCGUGCCAGCCGCCGCCGUAA
rnacentral:rRNA from 1 species